CCCCCGAUGCAACGAGCUGCAAGCGGCCGCCGCCGCAGCGGUUUGCAGACUCGCGGGCGCCGCCGCAGCCAGGCGCGCCGCACGGUCGCGGCGGCGCAACCGGGCCCCGGCCGCCGCCAUAGCUAUUGGCUUGCCCUCCCGGCCGGCAGGUGAAAUCGCGAGCCUCGACGACGCCGGGGCGGAGCAUCGUGCGGAGGUAGAAGGCAACCUGCCGGGCCGGAGCAUCGUGCGAAGGUAGAAGGCAACCUGCAGCAGCAGGCACCCUGCACGCCUAAGGAAAUCACGGCUAAGCCAAAAAGAAAGACACAGACACUUCUUUCAUUUUACAAGAAGAUUGAAGGUGCAGUUGGGGAUCUACAAGUACAAGGGCAAGAUGAUUUGGCUGAUUAGGAUCAGAACCUUCAAUCUAAUGAAAAUGUUGUACUUGAAGAUGAGGCUCCAAGCAGGCAACGACAGAGCGUGCAUUUUCAGCAAUGAAACUUCUCAAGACAAGACUUCGCAACAAAAUGGAAGAUGAAUUUUUAAGGGAUUGCAUGUUAAUCUAUAUUGAGAGGGAGAUUGCUAUUAAGUUCACGACAGAUUCAAUUAUUAAUGAUCUCUAUGCGAAGAAGAACCGCAAAGUUCGACUAAAAUGAAAUCGUUUGUUUUCACUAACCCACCCUUUUGUAAAAUGUAGCUAGCUUUUGUAAUAUGGUUCCUGGCUGCAUGAAUGAACAAUGAAAAUUUGACGUCAACUGUCAGUACACCUAAUCAUUGUAUUCUCCAUAUCCAAUGAAUAUAUGUUGACUUAGCCU